GUGUCAGCCGCCGCGGUAAUACGGAGGAGGCAAGCGUUAUCCGGAAUUAUUGGGCGUAAAGCGUCCGUAGGUGGUUUAGAAAGUCUGCUGUCAAAGGCUGGGGCUUAACUCCAGACAGGCAGUGGAAACUACUAGACUAGAGUGCGGUAGGGGCAGAGGGAAUUCCCAGUGUAGCGGUGAAAUGCGUAGAUAUUGGGAAGAACACCGGUGGCGAAAGCGCUCUGCUGGACCUGUACUGACACUGAGGGACGAAAGCUAGGGGAGCGAAAGGGAUUAGAAACCCCAGUAGUCC
rnacentral:rRNA from 1 species